CCUACGGGUGGCAGCAGUGAGGAAUAUUGGUCAAUGGGCGCGAGCCUGAACCAGCCAAGUAGCGUGAGGGAAGACGGUCCUAUGGAUUGUAAACCUCUUUUGUCGGGGAACAAAAGAAGCCACGCGUGGCGUUCCGAGAGUACCUGAUGAAAAAGCAUCGGCUAACUCCGUGCCAGCAGCCGCGGUAAUACGGAGGGUGCAAGCGUUAUCCGGAAUUAUUGGGUUUAAAGGGAGCGUAGGCGGCUAGGUAAGUGAGUUGUGAAAGUCUGAGGCUUAACCUGAAGAUUGCAUCUCAUACUGUCAGCCUUGAGUACAGGUGAGGUAGGCGGAAUUCGUGGUGUAGCGGUGAAAUGCUUAGAUAUUACGAAGAACACCGAUGGCGAAGGCAGCCUUCUAAACUGCAACUGACGCUGAUGCUCGAAAGUGUGGGGAGCAAACAGGAUUAGAUACCCUAGUAGUC
rnacentral:rRNA from 1 species